rnacentral:rRNA from 1 species
UAUAAGUGUAUUUAUUUAGACUAAGUUAGUAUUAGCUAUGUUCUUGAAAGUUAAAGAUUUUGGCGGUAUUUUAGUCUAUUCAGAGGAACCUGUUCUGUAAUUGACAGUCCACGAUUUAAUUUACUUUUUUUAUUAGUUUACAUAUCGUCGUAAUUUGAAUAUUUUAUAAGAAUUUUAAUAUUCGAAAUUUACUAUAAUAAAAUAAAUNAGAUCAAGGUGUAGUUUAUACAAAAGUAGAAAUGGGUUACAGUAACUAAAAUUAGGAAAUAUUAUUUUUAAAGUAAUAUGAAUUUGGAUUUGAAAGUAAUUUUAAUUAAUUAAUUGAUUUGAUUUUAGCUCUAAAAUAUGC